rnacentral:lncRNA from 1 species
UCUCGGGUUGCAUGUACUGUAUGUGGAGCAGCGUACAGUGGAGCGGAGGCAGCGCGGCUCCGGGGCUCCUCUCACUUUCCCAUGGAGCAGCCCUGACCGGCCGCGAGGGCAGCCGCACGCCCUCUCGCCGCGAGCCCCGAGGUCACUAUCAUAUGACAGAGGCUUUGCUGCAGUUCAUCUUCCUCGCUGUGUACUUUCCAUUUACCCUCCUGGGUAAGUAUGCAAACUUCGCACAGGAAAGCUCAUUGGUGCUGACAUAAGAGUCAUGGUUCACAUAGGAAGAUG